rnacentral:rRNA from 1 species
AUGAACGCUGGCGGCGUGCCUAAUACAUGCAAGUCGAGCGAACAGACGAGGAGCUUGCUCCUCUGACGUUAGCGGCGGACGGGUGAGUAACACGUGGAUAACCUACCUAUAAGACUGGGAUAACUUCGGGAAACCGGAGCUAAUACCGGAUAAUAUAUUGAACCGCAUGGUUCAAUAGUGAAAGACGGUUUUGCUGUCACUUAUAGAUGGAUCCGCGCCGCAUUAGCUAGUUGGUAAGGUAACGGCUUACCAAGGCGACGAUGCGUAGCCGACCUGAGAGGGUGAUCGGCCACACUGGAACUGAGGCACGGUCCAGACUCCUACGGGAGGCAGCAGUAGGGAAUCUUCCGCAAUGGGCGAAAGCCUGACGGAGCAACGCCGCGUGAGUGAUGAAGGUCUUCGGAUCGUAAAACUCUGUUAUUAGGGAAGAACAAAUGUGUAAGUAACUAUGCACGUCUUGACGGUACCUAAUCAGAAAGCCACGGCUAACUACGU